rnacentral:rRNA from 1 species
GACGAACGCUGGCGGCGUGCUUAACACAUGCAAGUCGAACGAUGAAAGUGGAGCUUGCUCCGCUGGAUUAGUGGCGAACGGGUGAGUAACACGUGGGCAACCUGCCCCAGACUCUGGGAUAACUCCUCGAAAGAGGUGCUAAUACCGGAUACGAACUCCUUGAGCAUCCUUGGAGUUGGAAAGUUUUUCGGUCUGGGAUGGGCCCGCGGCCUAUCAGCUUGUUGGUGGGGUAGUGGCCCACCAAGGCGACGACGGGUAGCCGGCCUGAGAGGGCGACCGGCCAAAAUGGGACUGAGACACGGCCCAGACUCAUACGGGAGGCAGCAGUGGGGAAUAUUGCGCAAUGGGCGAAAGCCUGACGCAGCGACGCCGCGUGAGGGAUGACGGCCUUCGGGUUGUAAACCUCUUUCAGCAGGGAAGAAGCGAAAGUGACGGUACCUGCAGAAGAAGCACCGGCUAACUACGUGCCAGCAGCCGCCGUAA